AAAUUGAAGAGUUUGAUCAUGGCUCAGAUUGAACGCUGGCGGCAGGCCUAACACAUGCAAGUCGAACGGUAACAGGAAGCAGCUUGCUGCUUCGCUGACGAGUGGCGGACGGGUGAGUAAUGUCUGGGAAACUGCCUGAUGGAGGGGGAUAACUACUGGAAACGGUGGCUAAUACCGCAUAACGUCGCAAGACCAAAGAGGGGGACCUUCGGGCCUCUUGCCAUCAGAUGUGCCCAGAUGGGAUUAGCUUGUUGGUGAGGUAACGGCUCACCAAGGCGACGAUCCCUAGCUGGUCUGAGAGGAUGACCAGCCACACUGGAACUGAGACACGGUCCAGACUCCUACGGGAGGCAGCAGUGGGGAAUAUUGCACAAUGGGCGCAAGCCUGAUGCAGCCAUGCCGCGUGUAUGAAGAAGGCCUUCGGGUUGUAAAGUACUUUCAGCGGGGAGGAAGGUGUUGUGGUUA
rnacentral:rRNA from 1 species